GAUCCUGGCUCACAUUGAACGCUGGCGGCAGGCUUAACACAUGCAAGUCGAGCGGAAACGAUGAUAGCUUGCUAUCAGGCGUCGAGCGGCGGACGGGUGAGUAAUACUUAGGAAUCUACCUAGUAGUGGGGGAUAGCACGGGGAAACUCGUAUUAAUACCGCAUACGACCUACGGGAGAAAGGGGGCAGUUUACUGCUCUCGCUAUUAGAUGAGCCUAAGUCGGAUUAGCUAGAUGGUGGGGUAAAGGCCUACCAUGGCGACGAUCUGUAGCUGGUCUGAGAGGAUGAUCAGCCACACCGGGACUGAGAC
rnacentral:rRNA from 1 species